UAGGGAAUUUUCCACAAUGGGCGAAAGCCUGAUGGAGCAACGCCGCGUGCAGGAUGAAGGCCUUCGGGUCGUAAACUGCUUUUUUCUGUGACGAUUAUGACAGUAGCAGAGGAAUAAGGGUCGGCUAACUACGUGCCAGCAGCCGCGGUCAUACGUAGGACCCAAGCGUUAUCCGGAAUUACUGGGCGUAAAGAGUUGCGUAGGCGGCUUAUUAAGCAGAGCGUGAAAGCGUACGGCUCAACCGUAUAAACAUGUUCUGAACUGAUAAGCUAGAGAAUGAGAGAGGUUACUGGAAUUCCAAGUGUAGGAGUGAAAUCCGUAGAUAUUUGGAGGAACACCGAUGGCGUAGGCAGGUAACUGGCUCAUUUCUGACGCUCAGGCACGAAAGCGUGGGGAGCAAACGGG
rnacentral:rRNA from 1 species